CUAAGAUCUGCUUAAAUCGCUGGCAUCACCUUUCACCCAGGGGCAAGCGAAGAGAGCAACAACUUCCGGUCAUGCAAAUUUGGUUAAACAGGAAACCUGUUCAACCUUUGAACUGCCUGGGAAACAGGCUGUAACUAAUAUUUUGGAGAUUUCUCAUUAACCACCCGCCUUGCUGUAGUUUGCCGAAAUCUGUGAUCUGUGAUCCUUGACGAUUAGUUACAAAAGACAUAAAAACUUCCGGUCUGCAAAAAUACGCGCAGAGGAAGCAACCGAACAGCAGAAAAGGUGCGUAGCUGUUGCACUGUGAUCCUGAGCCUGUACCUGUCUCAACGACAGAUGCGCAAAAUAUACAACAGCAUCAGACAACAACAAGGAUGCGGAAGCAGCAGUCGCGGCUCAAGAAUCAAAACAAAACUGGCAAUGAGAAUGAGAGAAACAAACGGUGCUCAAAGCGGAAAUAAUACCAGUCCCAGUCCCAGUCCCAGUCCCACAUCUCCGAUCCACAAUCUGCGAACCCAGUUCCAGUUUCCAGCCAGCGCAACAGUUGUCCCUGAAGGCAAACACUCCCGAAAAUCACAACUGUUCGCAGCUCGUUUUGAAUAUAUUUCCAUUUGUUUUUUUCCUUUUUUCCCUUUUGACAGCCCCUGCUGCUGCCCCUGUGCAACAUGUUGUUCUCAAUGCAUUCUCAAUGCAGCUCGCCUUCUGUGAUGAUCAUUAAAAAUGCAAGCAGCAGUGGAUGCUGCGGUUUGAUAAUGUCAAACAUGUGUCUAUCCUGUGGCAACGCGUCCGUAAAUGGAGAAGCUGCUGACGCUUCUCUCGGGCCUAUGCUAAAUAUGCUAAGCACAGUGGAUAGUUAGCGGGAAAAAUAAAUCAGUUUACUGGAGUAAAAUAACUGUCUUCCACUAGCACCACCAAGAUUUUGUGUAUGCACGCACUUUAGUUUACAAUUGC